rnacentral:misc_RNA from 1 species
GUAUUCCAUCGUUUUAAGUAUGGCAAUGUUAGCUUUAAGCCAUAGUUAAUAAUGUAAAAAUCCUAAAAUCUAAAAUUGUACCUACUAUUAAACAAAGCUUAAUUAAAGCUGAAGCUGAAUACUACCAAACACCUACUAAAAGUUUAUUUUUUCUAAAUUUUAAACUAAAAAUUUACCUCAACUUCAAAAACUUUUUCAUAAAAAUAAAAGCAAAAAGAAUAAUCAAUAAAAUUAGCCUUAAUUUAUCUUUCUAUUUAAAAGAGGCUAAUCCAAGCCAUACUGGAAAGUACGAGCUUCUUGUUACGACUUC